UAAAUUUUAAAUCAAUUGUAUUAAAAUCUUACACAGUUACACAACUCUCUUCUUGUUUUUGAGUUAACAUAAGUGAAUUUACUUUUUGUAAUUUGUAAUCCUAUUUAAUUAAGGAUUUUUUUUGCCUAAACUUGAUCCAUCAUAAAUCCAAGAUACAAGAUGUAUGAUGAAACCCACCUAUUAGGAAUUUUAUAAAAAAAAAUGACAAUUUCUUUACCUCUGAUGUUAUUUAAAGUUUUAUAUUAGACGUUUGCAAAUGUAUCAUUUGAAAAAAAAUUCAAAAAUCAUAAAGGCAUAUAUUAAUUAUAUCUAAAGAAAAAAUAGAAAUAUGACAAAGAAAGAGAGGGAGGGUACCAGUUGAUUAGGAUUUCUUCAAAAUAAUAAUUAAGCUUUAAUUCCAAAUUAGUUAUCUAAAAAAUUCAUAUCAGAACAACAGAAUGAGUUUUAUGCCAACCGUCAACCUACUGUAACCCUCUUCUUUUUUGAGACUUAGAAUUCGCUAUGCUUUACUAAGUUCACAUAAGCAGAGUUUGAUUAAGGCUUCUUCAACUGAAAAAAAGAAGGGGGAGUGGGGGGAGGGGGAGGGUUUGUGUUCAUUUCUCAUUGAUUAGGGUUGUUGAAGAAGACAAUACAAUGUAAUUUAUUAAAAUUUAGUAGUGGAAUUUUGAAUUUUUCCUUGCUUCAUUUUGCUUCUAACAGAGAGGAAAUGAAAAUAUUAAAGCCUGUUUAUUUAUGGAAUAUAGUUUUUUAUUUUUUAAGAAAAUUA
rnacentral:misc_RNA from 1 species